ACGAACGCUGGCGGCGUGCCUAAUACAUGCAAGUCGAGCGGACGUAAUUAAGAGCUUGCUCUUAUGAGGUUAGCGGCGGACGGGUGGAGUAACACGUGGGCAACCUGCCCUGUAGACUGGGAUAACAUCGAGAAAUCGGUGCUAAUACCGGAUAAUUGUUGGAACUGCAUAGUUCUAACUUAAAAGAUGGCUCCGGCUAUCACUAUAGGAUGGGCCCGCGGCGCAUUAGCUAGUUGGUAAGGUAAUGGCUUACCAAGGCGACGAUGCGUAGCCGACCUGAGAGGGUGAUCGGCCACACUGGGACUGAGACACGGCCCAGACUCCUACGGGAGGCAGCAGUAGGGAAUCUUCCGCAAUGGACGAAAGUCUGACGGAGCAACGCCGCGUGAGUGAUGAAGGUUUUCGGAUCGUAAAGCUCUGUUGUUAGGGAAGAACAAGUGCCGUUCGAAUAGGGCGGCACCUUGACGGUACCUAACCAGAAAGCCACGGCUAACUACGUG
rnacentral:rRNA from 1 species